AUGGGCCUGGAGGAGGACCGGGUUGGGGAGGCCCUGCAGGGUGGGGCCCAGGAGGGUGGGGUCCGGUUCCACCUGGUGGGCCUGGGUUUCCUGGUGGCCCUGGCCCUGGUUUCUGGGGGCCUGAGUUCGGUGGGUUCUUCGGAUCCUGCUUCUACCUCCUGUGCUGCUGCUGCCUGCUCCAAGAUUGCUGCGGUCCUCUGUUCGGACACCCGGGCCCUGGCGGUCCGUCGCCUCCUUUCUAGCCUGUGGAGCUGCGGGUCAUAUCCACCACAAGAAACAAUGCACUUGAGAACAAUUUCUAGACUAUGUAUCCGCGGAAACGCAGUUGUGUGA
rnacentral:rRNA from 1 species